AUCCAGCUGAAGAAUCCCGAAUAGGACGAAACGCGCGUCCUGAAU
rfam:Schistosoma mansoni strain Puerto Rico chromosome 1, complete genome